GAUGAACGCUGGCGGCGUGCCUAAUACAUGCAAGUCGAGCGAACAGACGAGGAGCUUGCUCCUCUGACGUUAGCGGCGGACGGGUGAGUAACACGUGGAUAACCUACCUAUAAGACUGGGAUAACUUCGGGAAACCGGAGCUAAUACCGGAUAAUAUAUUGAACCGCAUGGUUCAAUAGUGAAAGACGGUUUUGCUGUCACUUAUAGAUGGAUCCGCGCCACAUUAGCUAGUUGGUAAGGUAACGGCUUACCAGGGCGACGAUGCGUAGCCGACCUGAGAGGGUGAUCGGCCACACUGGAACUGAGACACGGUCCAGACUCCUACGGGAGGCAGCAGUAGGGAAUCUUCCGCAAUGGGCGAAAGCCUGACGGAGCAACGCCGCGUGAGUGAUGAAGGUCUUCGGAUCGUAAAACUCUGUUAUUAGGGAAGAACAAAUGUGUAAGUAACUAUGCACGUCUUGACGGUACCUAAUCAGAAAGCCACGGCUAACUACGUG
rnacentral:rRNA from 1 species